GGUUAUGGCUCAGUGGUAGAGCACUUGCCUAGCAUGCGUGAGGUUUUGGGUUGAUCCCCGGUACCA
rnacentral:tRNA from 1 species